rnacentral:tmRNA from 1 species
CGCCCUCGCCGCCUGAGGCGUAGGGCAUGCCCGUCAACCCAGGAGCGGCUGCGGCCUGGGAUUUGGCGUCGACUAGCAGCCCACUGCCUGUUCGCCGCGUUGCCCGGCGGGCGGGGACUUCUAGGCAACUGAGCCCGGCGGCGCGUCGCCAGCAACAGCGCCGGGGCUGAGAAAACCGCUUGUUGGCUGCGCCCGGAGAAGACCUGUGCUUUGGCUCUCGGACGGGGGUUCAAUUCCCCCCAGCUCCACCA